GCCGGGCGUGGUGGCGUAUACCUGUAAUCCAUUGACUCCGGGAGGCUGAGGCAGGAGGAUAGCAAGUUCAAGGCUAGCCUCAGCAAAUUAGUGAGGCCCUAAGCAACUCAGCAAGAUCUUGUCUCUA
rnacentral:sRNA from 1 species